UACGAGAGGCCCAAACGUUAUUCGGAAUUAUUGGGCGUAAAGGGCGCGUAGGCGGCUUUUCAAGUGACGGGUGAAAUCCCUCGGCUUAACCGAGGAACUGCCCGUCAGACUGGAAGGCUUGAGACCGGGAGAGGUGAGUGGAAUUCCCAGUGUAGCGGUGAAAUGCGUAGAUAUUGGGAGGAACACCAGUGGCGAAGGCGGCUCACUGGACCGGUACUGACGCUGAGGCGCGAAAGCGUGGGGAGCAAACAGG
rnacentral:rRNA from 1 species